AGUAACGCGUGAGGAACCUGCCUCAAAGAGGGGGACAACAGUUGGAAACGACUGCUAAUACCGCAUAAGCCCACAGCUCGGCAUCGAGCAGAGGGAAAAGGAGUGAUCCGCUUUGAGAUGGCCUCGCGCCCGAUUAGCUAGUUGGUGAGGUAAUGGCCCACCAAGGCGACGAUCGGUAGCCGGACUGAGAGGUUGAACGGCCACAUUGGGACUGAGACACGGCCCAG
rnacentral:rRNA from 1 species